GCUAAAUUGCAACCACCAACAAAGAAAUUAUUGAAAGAAACCGAACUCUUGCAGAAUUCGUUAGAGAUUUGGGAUUUUUUUUCUAUCUUUUUGAGAGAUUCGUAGAUCGAAUAUCAACGAAGAUGAAUAUUUUCAGAUUAGCGGGUGAUAUGACUCACCUUGCCAGCGUUCUCGUCUUACUCCUCAAGAUCCACACCAUCAAAUCCUG
rnacentral:misc_RNA from 1 species